rnacentral:lncRNA from 1 species
GCGAAGCCCACGUGUUUAAAAAAAAAAGGAAAACAGAAAAAAAAAAAAGAAAAAAGAAAUAAAUAAAUAAAUAAAUAAAAUAAAAGAAAAAAUCUUGGACUUGGACCUCUCUCAUUUGAGCCCACAGGUCCACAAAAAUCAGGUUAUAAAUUCAGAGUUUCAGUGAAACAAAAGGCCAUUCUAUUCCUAUUACCCUGGCUGGAAAAAGAUAGUGAGAGAAGAGCUAACGGAGUUCAGAGCAGCCUCCAAACCCUGAAGGGAACUCAACUGCACAGAAUCACCUCUGCCUCAC